rnacentral:misc_RNA from 1 species
GGCUUCUGUAAGUCUUCUUCCUCAAGAAAUCGCGAGAAACAGCGACUCCAACCCAAAAAAUGCGUAUCAGACGCGAACCCAGCAAAAUCAUGUGCUCUCUCCUUCUCCUCUCGUACGAGUAAUGUACUCUAAUUUUCCAGGUGUCUCCAUCUCCUAAUGAAUUCGUCCUUGACUCAAAAUCGAACGAAUCUCCUCCCCAAUCCGUUAGAAUUUGGUAUGAAUUACAGUUCACACCUUAUCCUCCAGAAAAUUUAAAAUCUGAGCUUGUCCCACAUCGUUUCCCUCCUCUAUUUUCGACCUAGAAGUUGUCUUAUAA